AUGAGGUUCCCUGCUCAGCUCCUUGGGCUGCUAAUGCUUUGGAUCCCUGGAUCCAGUGGGGAAAUCGUGAUAACACAGACCCCACUGUCCCUGCCCAUCACCCCCGGAGAGUCAGCCUCCAUCUCCUGCAGGGCCAGUCAGAGCCUCCUGCAUAGUAAUGGAAACACCUAUUUGUAUUGGUUCCGGCAGAAGCCAGGCCAGUCCCCACAGGACCUGAUCUAUAAGGUUUCGAACCGGUAUUCCUGGGUCCCAGACAGGUUCAGUGGCAGCGGGUCAGGGACAGAUUUUACCCUGAGAAUCAGCAGGGUGGAGGCUGACGAUGUGGGAGUUUAUUACUGUGGACAAGGUACACAUCUUCAUCCAUUCCUCUGUGGUUGUACACGUGGGUGGCUUGCACAUCUUGGCUAUUGCAAAUAA